CCUACGGGUGGCAGCAGUGGGGAAUAUUGCACAAUGGGCGCAAGCCUGAUGCAGCCAUGCCGCGUGUGUGAAGAAGGCCUUCGGGUUGUAAAGCACUUUCAGCGGGGAGGAAGGCGGUGAGGUUAAUAACCUCAUCGAUUGACGUUACCCGCAGAGGAAGCACCGGCUAACUCCGUGCCAGCAGCCGCGGUAAUACGGAGGGUGCAAGCGUUAAUCGGAAUUACUGGGCGUAAAGCGCACGCAGGCGGUCUGUCAAGUCGGAUGUGAAAUCCCCGGGCUCAACCUGGGAACUGCAUUCGAAACUGGCAGGCUAGAGUCUUGUAGAGGGGGGUAGAAUUCCAGGUGCAGCGGUGAAAUGCGUAGAGAUCUGGAGGAAUACCGGUGGCGAAGGCGGCCCCCUGGACAAAGACUGACGCUCAGGUGCGAAAGCGUGGGGAGCAAACAGGAUUAGAUACCCGUGUAGUC
rnacentral:rRNA from 1 species